ensembl:lncRNA
CUUACAGAAAUCUCCCUCACAUCACACACACACAAGCACACGUACGCACACUCCCACACACACACGUAUACACACACACAACAAUGUACGCCAGGACUCAUCCUCAUUUUCAGGUUGACCAUCAGAGAUAUUUGAAGAUAAAUGUAAAUAUAGAAACCUCACAAGAAUAAGCAUGCAAGGGUGUGAGACGUCCAUGGAGGUUGGUUCAGACUUAUCUACAGGACAGUUUGGCUUUAGAGAGGGGGUUUUUGUGAAACAGCAAGUCUGCUUCAUGCGGUCAUUCUCUUUAUGGUCUACAAAACACAGAUGAGCUUGUGCACUGCUUCGAGCUGAAAACAGGAAGACCUCUGACAGCUCUAAACCACAAACUGCUGAGUGUGUUCACACGUUCACAGAACCCUGAGGUCUGGUUUACAGAAACACAACCAACGUAUUCACCAGGGUGAUACCUUCUGACGACACUUCAUCACCACCUUCGGUCCGUCAGCUCUUAGUUAAAUUCUUAAAUUCUGAAUUGUAAUGGAUAGAAAAGAAAAAGGUAUGCCAUAUGCGAUUCAAUGACAUAUCACAUAUAGUGUGAUGUGACAUGGAAUCUCACACAUACAAUUGUGUGUGAUUCUGUGGAGGGGGUUGGAUUCAUUUUGUUGGGGAUUUAAGCCAGAAGUGCACCCCUAGUCAUAGAAUUUGUAGUACGUGUAAUGAUGUUUAGUGUUAGAAUUAUAUUUUGUGUGUUAUUAGAUAUUAGUUAUUACAUUAACAUGUUAGAUGAAGUGAAUGCAAUUUCAAUCAAACACAAUUCAUAGUCAUUUAAAUCAUAUGAACACUGUACACAUUAACAUUCUGUCACAAUGUGAUGUUAAAACCUGGGGACGGAUGCCAAUUGCCGUUCUUUAUGGAUUUCUUCCAAUUUUUCCCCAAAGAGGGUUUUCUGGGAAAUUGAACCACAUGAACUGUUUUAGAUCUUAUGAUGAAGUGUGAUGAACGGUGAUCAUUAAUGAUGGGUUGUUGUAAUGAAAGUGUACUAGUUACAAGAUGAAGACUAAAACGAUGUAUGCUUUGUUAAAUUCACUCUUUGAGGCAUAAAGC